rnacentral:rRNA from 1 species
UACGAAGGGGGCAAGCGUUGUUCGGAAUUACUGGGCGUAAAGGGCGCGUAGGCGGUCUAUUUAGUCAGGCGUGAAAUCCCCGGGCUCAACCUGGGAACUGCGUUUGAUACUGGUAGACUUGAGGAUGGGAGAGGAUAGUGGAAUUCCGAGUGUAGAGGUGAAAUUCGUAGAUAUUCGGAGGAACACCCGUGGCGAAGGCGGCUAUCUGGACCAUUACUGACGCUGAGGCGCGAAAGCGUGGGGAGCAAACAGG